AAGGACAACAAAAUGCUUUCUAAUAAGAACACGGUCAGGUAUGACUAGAAAGACAUGAGAAAAUGAAAGUCACAUUAUAAUGGAGGAAGCCCAGCGAAUUGUGCCUUUUAUGGCAUGUGCACUCAAUUAGAAGGAAAAAGUUGAGGUUAGGCCUCUCAUUUGGAGGCUUGUGCAUGCUACCCCUGCACUUGGUUGUGGACAGACGUAAAAUAGCUAAAAGGUGUUGGAUUAUAAUGUCUCAAGUUGCUGUUUUCUGUUUUGUUCUUUUUUUUUUACUCUGUUUUCUGUUCUGUUUUCUGCACUGUUUUACUCUGUUUUUUUUAUUAAAAAAAAACAGCCAAGUUCAAUUUAGUUAUUUAUUUAGUGUUUUUGUUAUUUUCUAGGAAGUUAAUAGCACGUUUGUGUGCAGUUAUGUGUUGCACGUACGUGAGCAGUUUUUGCUUUGUUUAAGUUGUCUUGUACUUGACAGUUUCCUUUAGAACAGACGUAUGCAAGUUUGUGUUCUGUUUCUUUGCGCUUCUCUUCCUCAUAUGAAAAAUAUAGCUUCUGGUUUUCUUUUUUCUUGUUUACUGUUUUGAUCAAUAACAACAGUGGUAUCAGAGCGUGUACGAUCUUGAGGGACUGUGAAGUGAAGCAAGUAUCGAAGUGUAAAGAAGUUAAAGGGUGAUGGAGACAGGGUCGAGUGGUUUCUCUGCGAUGGCUUCUCCAGUAUUUACUGGAGAGAAUUAUCAAGCAUGGGCUGUCAAGAUGACGGCAUUUUUGGAGGGUCAUGAUUUGUGGGAAGCUAUGGAGGAUGAUUAUGAGGUUGCUCCACUUCCAGACAAUCCGACUUUGAAUCAGAUAAAGUACCAUAAAGAGAGAAUCAUAAAGAAGGCCAAGGCAAAGUCAUGCCUGUACGCUGCUGUUUCACCCACUAUCUUCACAAGGAUCAUGAGAUGUGAUUCUGCAAAGGCAAUAUGGGAUUUCUUGAAGGAUGAAUACGAGGGAGAUGAGAAGAUAAGAGGCAUGAAGGUGCUGAAUCUCUUAAGGGAGUUUGAGAGACAGCAGAUGAAGGAUUCAGAGUCAAAGAAGGAGUACUCUGAUAGGUUGGUUGGGAUAGCUGAAAAAAUCAGAGUUUUAGGGACUGACUUGAAGGAUGAAAGGCUUGUUCAGAAGAUCCUGGUGUCUCUUCCAGAGAAGUUCGAGGCCACCAUAGCGUCUCUGGAAAAUACAAGAGACUUACUUGAUAUAAAGCUUGCGGAAUUGUUAAAUGCUCUGCAGGUACAGGAGCACAGAAGACUGAUGAGAAGAGAAGAGUUUGUAGAGGGUGCGCUGCAAGCUAGAGUGAAGUCAAAUGAUGGAGGCAAAGGGAAGAAAUGGAUUCAGUCCAGAGAAAAUGCUGGUGACUCCAAGUUUGUAGCAAAGAAGGAAAUUCUGGUGGGUCUAGCAAAUGGAAGAUGAACAAAAAGCCUUGUCAAUACUGUGGUGGAACUAAUCAUCAGUUUUUUAGAUGUUGGAGAAAGCCUGAUGCUAGAUGCAGAAGAUGUCACAAGUUGGGUCACAUGGAAGCCAUCUGCAAAGAAAAAAAUUACCAGCAAGCAGGAAAAGCCCAGGUAGCCGUGAAUGAAACUGAGGAAGAGCACUUGUUUGUAGCUUCUUUUUCUAAAUCUUCUGUUGGGAAUGAUGCAUGGCUGGUGGAUAGUGGCUGUACCAAUCAUAUGACUGGCAAUUUGAAGCUGUUUAGGAGUCUAGAUAGGUCAGUCAGGUCUAGAGUCAGAAUUGGCAACGGACAAUAUAUCGAAGUGCAAGGGAAGGGUACAGUGGCUAUUGAAGGAAAUCAGGAGGUGAAGCUGAUCAGUGAUGUUCUCUUUGUGCCAAAUAUUGACCAUAAUCUGUUAAGUGUUGGUCAAUUAGUUGAGAAUGGCUAUAAAGUGAAGUUCGAAGGGAAUGAAUGUCUUAUUAAUAAUGCAGAUAGCAAAGAAGUGCUAAGAAUUCCAAUGGAGGACAAGAGUUUCAUGUUCAAGCCACAAGAGAUGCAACAAAUGGCUUUAAAGUGCAAAGAAGAAAAUGCAGAGAUAUGGCAUAAAAGACUUGGGCAUGUUCACAGGAAGAGCAUGUCGUUUAUGCAGAGAAAUAGCUUGGCAGAUGACUUGCCAAGUUUGGAGGAGGAAUUUCCACAGUGCAAAACUUGUCUUCUUGGCAAGCAAGCCAGAUUUCCUUUCAAAGGAGGAGGCUGGAGAGCAUGUGAGAAGCUGCAAUUAGUCCACACAGAUUUAUGUGGACCUAUGUCUGAGUCUUCUCUCAAUGGUAGCAGGUAUUUCAUUACCUUCACUGAUGAUAUGACUAGGAUGAGUUGGAUUUAUUUUCUGCGAGCCAAGUCUGAAGUUGCUGAUGUGUUUGUGAAGUUUAAAGCCUUAGUUGAGAAUCAGAGUGGGAAGAAAAUUAAAAUGCUCAGGUCUGAUAAUGGUUCUGAGUAUACUGCUCACAAGUUUAAGUUGAAUUGUGAGCAAGCAGGAAUUGUGCAGCAGUUCACUGCUCCCUAUUCACCUCAACAGAAUGGGGUCAGUGAGAGGAAAAACAGAAGUAUUAUGGAGAUGGCCAAAUGUAUGAUGCAGGAGAAGAUGUUGCCUAAGAAGUUCUGGGCUGAAGCAGCUAAUACUGCAGUGUUCUUGUUGAACAGAUUGCCCACAAAGGCCUUAGAUAGGUCAACACCUUUUGAAGCCUGGUAUGGUGUUAAACCUUCUGUGAAAAAUUUGAAGGUUUUUGGGUGUUUGUGUUACACUCAUGUUCAUGAGGUCAAGAGGGACAAGCUGGAUAAGAAGGCAGAGCUUGGAAUCUUCAUUGGGUACAGUCUCCAAUCAAAGGCUUACAGAAUUUUUCACCCUAUGACAGGGAAGGUGACUGUAAGCAGAGAUGUUGUUUUUCUAGAGGAAGAUGAGUGGAAUUGGAUGGAAGGAUGGAGUGCAGAAAAGCAGCAGUUCGAAAAACAACUUGCAACAGAUGUAGAGGUUGAUGAAGUUAUAGAUGGAUUGGAAGACAGUGUGGAUGAUUUACCAGUGAGGGGCACAAGGUCACUUGCUGAAAUCUAUGAAAGAAGCAAUGUGGCAAUGCUCGAACCAUCUAACUUUGUGGAAGCUAAGGAGGAUCAGAGGUGGAUUGCAGCAAUGUAGGAGGAGAUUGCAAUGAUCCAGAAAAACCACACAUGGGAGCUUGUUGACAGACCAUCUGAUAAGAAUGUGAUUGGGGGUUAAGUGGGUGUUUAGAACAAAACUUAAUCCCGAUGGUUCUGUUAAUAAACACAAAGCUAGACUGGUGGUGAAAGGUUAUGCACAAAUAUGGGGAGUAGACUAUUCUAAAACAUUUGCUCCUGUUGCACGACUUGAUACAAUAAGGCUACUGUUAGCUAUUGCAGCAGAGAAUGGGUGGCCUAUAUUUCAGUUAGAUGUCAAGUCUGCAUUUCUGAAUGGAGAGCUUGAGGAGGAGAUUUUUGUUGAACAACCUGAAGGCUUUAGUAUUAAAGGGCAAGAAGAGAGUGUAUACAGGUUGAAGAAAGCUCUAUAUGGACUGAAGUAGGCUCCAAGAGCUUGGUAAGGAAAGAUAGAUCGAUAUUUGCAAGAUUUUGGUUUUGUGAAAAGCUUAAGUGAGUUCACUCUUUAUGUCAAGAAGGUGAAUCACAGUGUUGUAAUUCUGUCACUUUAUGUAGAUGAUCUAUUAGUGACGGGGAAUGAUAUGUAAUUGAUAGAGAAGGUGAAGCAAGAUCUAUUUGCAGUUUUUGAGAUGUCAGACUUGGGAAAGAUGGCUUAUUUUUUGGGUUUGGAAGUCAAACAGGCUUCAUAUGAGAUCUUCAUCUGUCAGAAAAAAUACAUGAAAGAAAUUCUAAAGAAGUUUCAGAUGGAAGAUUGUCGAAGUGUAAGCACUCCUAUGGCUGCUAAAGAAAAGCCGCAGAAGAAUGAUGGAAUAGAUGCAGUAGAUGCUUCUAUGUAUAGAAGUUUGAUUGGGUGUCCCAUGUAUCUUACAGCAACCAGGCCAGAUAUUCUAUUUGAUGUGAGUGUUUUAUCCAGGUUUAUGAGUAGUCCUAGUCAGUUACAUUUGAUUGUAGCAAAAAAGGUCUUGAGAUAUCUCAAAGGAACAUUGUUCUUUGGUGUGAAGUUUGAAAACGGUCAGAAGUUUAAUUUGCACGGAUUUUCUAAUAGUGACUGGGCUGGUUCAGUGGAUGACAUGAAAAGUACAUCUGGGUAUUGUUUUAGUUUUGGUUCUGCUUGUUUCUCCUGGUGUUCCAAAAAGCAAGAGAUUGUAGCUCAGUCCACAGCAGAGGCUGAGUUAUAGCAGCUACUGCAGCUGCAAAUCAAGCUUUGUGGCUGAAGAAGAUAAUGAAGGAUUUGUGGUUGAAUUCCAGUGAUUGCAUUGAAGUUAAUGUGGAUAAUCAGGCUGCUUUAGCAAUAUCUCAGAAUCCAGUUUUCCAUGGCAAAACCAAGCAUUUCAAAGUCAAAUUUUUCUUUCUGCGUGAGGUGCAACAAAGUGGCGAAGUUAAGUUGGUCUAUUGCAGAUCUGAAGAUCAACUUGCAGACAUGUUCACAAAACCACUUCAAGCUGGAAGAUUUGAAGUAUUAAGAAAGAAAAUUGGAGUAUGCAGCAACAACUGAUCCAAGGAGGAGUUUGUUGGAUUAUAAUGUCUCAAGUUGCUGUUUUCUGUUUUGUUCUUUUUUUUUUUACUCUGUUUUCUGUUCUGUUUUCUGCUCUGUUUUACUCUGUUUUUUUAUUAAAAAAAAAACAGCCAAGUUCAAUUUAGUUAUUUAUUUAGUGUUUUUGUUAUUUUCUAGGAAGUUAAUAGCACGUUUGUGUGCAGUUAUGUGUUGCACGUACGUGAGCAGUUUUUGCUUUGUUUAAGUUGUCCUGUACUUGACAGUUUCCUUUAGAACAGACGUAUGCAAGUUUGUGUUCUGUUUCUCUGCGCUUCUCUUCCUCAUAUGAAAAAUAUAGCUUCUGGUUUUCUUUUUUCUUGUUUACUGUUUUGAUCAAUAACAACAAAAGGAAGGGGAAAGGGAGGAGUGGUCUGAGAGCACAACUUUGCAGAGAAGUCCACAAGCAGUCAGCAGAUACCGAAAAGAUAGAAGAAGGCCUCCAGUUUUAAUGGAAACAAAACAUAGCAAGUUGGAAUAAGAUGGUAUCUCUCCAAAAUAGGAGUGCAUCUCCGAAAAUUGUCACUUCUUUAACCAUUAAUGGCAUUCAACUUGAAUCACAUGAAAUUUUGUGGACAGCAUCUUAGUAGAUUAAAUCCUGACACAUAUUUCACUGCUAAAGGAGGAGCAAACUGAAAAAUUAGUUGUAAGAUGGAUAGCCUAUAUGAAAAUGCAAACUCUAUUUCCCAUCAUCAUCUCACAAAUUUCCUAAAUCUGUGAAGUCAAAUCAUCAUUUUUAUCCAGCAAAUAUGUCACUAAAGUACAUUCCGCAAAUAGGAUACUUCCCUGAACUGUUGCAUUAAUAUCAAAUUCAC
rnacentral:lncRNA from 1 species